rnacentral:lncRNA from 1 species
GGUUUCAUAAGAAACUCAAGUAGAGAUGAAAGAACCUAUUUAGAAAAUCAAAGAUCGUAACAAAUACAUCACAAUCUUCUCGAAAUGACACUGGUGUAACCAAGAACAACCCAAACAACAAACCCUAAAUACAAGCAGCAUGGCCUAAGGCCUUUGAAGGCCUCAGAGGCUUGGGGGUUUUAGGGUGGUCACCGGAGAAGACCGGAGAAGGGAGGCGGUUGAAAGGGGGCUAGGGUUAGGUUGAGAGAAGAGAGGAUAUGAGAGGAUACAGAGAUGGUGG